rnacentral:snRNA from 1 species
ACACAGUGAAUAGGCACUCGGACUGCCACCUCAUUAAUUUUCAGGGUUUAUUCAGCUGAAUGGCUGGCUGGGCAGAUGCCCUUCUCCCUCAGUGCUGUGUGUUCAGCGCUCCUGGGGCUGCUGGCUCAUUGAAGAGGACGCCCUUCCCCAGCAGAGGACCAGUGGUCUGUCAACGGCAUAUAAGUAACUGCACAACCAUGCUAGAAACUCCAAAAUAAGCUUCCAAAUCAUAGCAAGCAGGCUUGAGAAGAUAUUACAUGUAUAAUGUGGAAGAAGGGUCAAGACUCU